CAUGCUUUCCAAGGACCAAGUGCUAUAGUUCAGAGCUUGGGUAAAUGUGCAACCACGCUGCUUCCUCAGUGCUCCAAACAGAGAGAAUUCUUAUGCAAAUUUAAGAAUCUGCCCUUGUGGAGAGGAGCGAUCUCCUUUUACAACUGUCUGGGAUUUGUAUGGAGGUGGAAUUCGGCAGUUACAGAAAACCAGUAGGAGCCUUCUGAGCUCACAGAACCUCCAGAACAUCAGCUGGAAGUGCAGUGGCUGCAUCUGGAGACCCUGUGCCCCAGUCCUCGGGCUGAGCUUUGAAGAAGAGACCUCCAGCAGCACUGGUGAGUACAGAGAUGGCCACGGAGACAGAAAUGAAAGCGGCAGAGCACCGCGAGGGCACAGCCGAGGCUUGUGGAGACAGCGCUCCAACUCUCCAGACAGCACCUAUGAAUUAAGGAAGUCCAUGUGGAAAGAAGAGAGGAAUGCAAUUGAAAAAAAACAGAAUGGAGACCACAGAGAUCAGAAGCUGUCAAGCAGUUUCCCUGAGAUCCUGCCCUGCUCUGACGUCACCUACACUUGCAGCAAGAGGAACCAGGCUGACAUGGACCAGUCAGAGGGAAAGAGGGCACAGAGGCCCUAGACUAGAAAAAAUUUCUCUCUUGUUUGGCCAAAAGGCUGGGUGUGGACAGAAUGGGAGACCAGGCAGCUUUCCUGGAAUAAGCAACUAUUUCUUUUGAUCCUCUGUGUUCUGGCCAUCUUUCUGGGGAACUUGAAAAAGUUUUCUGAAUUUAGGUUCCCAGUCAUUUCUAUACUUAGUCCUUAUUCUUGAUUGAAUCCAUUCUAGAACAAAAAGGCAAAUUUUACAGCAAUGUUGAUAAUCAGAGCUGUGUACACCAAGGAAAUGAAUACCUGUUAUCAAAAUGUUGGAAUCCUUCUCUAACACUUGAUAACAAACCCCUCCUCUGAGUCCCCAGCAUGUCGCUACUGCCACCGUGGCCACCCUGGCCCUAUUCCUAAAAUCUUUUGCAUCACCCCAUAUGGCAGCUCUUAAAGAAGCAACGUCUGGCCUCAGUAGAACGUGCCCCACAGUCCUGCUUCACCACCCCAUGACCGAUGUUCUUUCUAAUUGGCUGGUUCUUGGCUUUUAUAGCUAAGUUUAUUGCAUAUUAGCCUUGUAUAAAGAUCCCAGAAAAUAACAGGCAUGAAUCAAGUGGGCGGGUGUAGCACAAUGGGAAGUAAUGGGAAAUGUGGGAACCUGGAGGGCUCCCACCUCUUAAAGAAGCAGUUGCUAUGUUGUCGUUGCCAUGGGGGAAUGUAGGCUGAAGGUGCUAAAUCUUCUGUACUUCAAGAGAAACCAGAAAUUGUGCUUUUAAUAAAAAAUCUCUGAUUUCUUAACAUUGAGGUACCAUCAGUGUUGGCCUGCUAUUGUGUGGGCCCAGCUAGACUGGAUAGGCUCCAUGUGUCAUGAGUUUGCAACCCUGCUUUAAGCAUGUGGAGUUGUCAGAGCCUUCUUAUGCCUCACUCAUGAAACAGGCCAGAGGGAAGAUGCGGCCCUAUGGCUGGGUAAUUAAAUAUAAUUUCAAAUUGAAACUUUGAAGCAGUAAGUGAAAUUUAUAAUUACAGCAAUCUCCUUUUUUACUGUACUUUAGAUUUUGCCAAGUGUUAUCAAAUAUGGCAUUUGAGGCUUUCCCUGAUAAUCAGGGUACUACUAUGUGUUUUAAGAGUUGAAAAAAUCCACAUGGAAAGAUUAUGAAAAUUGCCAAAUAGCAUCCAGAUAUAUUCAGAAUUGGGUCUUCACUUUAGUACCAUUGAAUUGAUCCUUCCAAAACAUUUGUUUAAAAUGUCUAUUAUACCUUCAGUCUUAUAGAUAUACCAGAUGUAACACCAGGUAAUUAUUCUAGAACGAUAGCCUUUUGGACCCUAUUUCUCAUACUCAUUUGAAGUGAUCCAUCAGUAUAUGCAAAACAUGUCAUGAAGGUCAAAACAUGUGUUUGGAAUAGAUUACAUUAUUGUUACCAGCUCUUUAAUAAAAUUAUACAUCAAGUUCUUAGCCAUGUGAACUUUAAGUUCUUUCAGAGUGAUCAGAGCAGAAUUUCUUUGGCGAAUGGCCGGGGGUGGGAGUCAUGUGCCAGUCCAUAGCGGAGGGUUAAGAGGCAUUCAGUGUUUUCACUGUGUCCCCUUCAGCUUCUGUAAUUUGCUCUAAGAGGAGAUUGUCCUAGUUCUCUAUUCCUGCUUCACCGCAGAUGGACACAUAUGGUGCAGACACAGACCUGACCUAGAGCCUGGAACCACAUCCAGCUCAACUCAGCAAGGUCAGCAGAAACCCAGAUGACCCACUGGGCCAUAGGCAAGAAAAUAAAAAUGUGUUAAUAUAAUCUCCUGAGAUACGAGAGCCAGGGGGUUGUUUGUCAUGUGGCAUUAUUGAAGCAAUAUCUGACAAGGUUUUUAUAACCAUCUUAGUGUAAAUAAUAAUAUCCAUGCUUAGACCAUGAAAGAUUCAUCUUAACCAUAGACAAAAAUCUCAGCUAGCUCAAUAAGGAGAAUAUAUGCUUUUGGAGUAGUACAGCCUUUCUUCUUCUAAACUGGUAUUCCCAGUGUUGAUUGGAUAAAGAACUAAGGAAAGAAAAUGGAAAGUAAGAAACCACAUUUUCUUAAAAAUGUAAUGAAAUUGAGAUAGAAAGUGAUUAAUGACCUUGGAAAACAACAGUAUUGAAACACUGUUGCUGAUCCUGGAUAAGGUUGACCAUUACUAAGGAAAAACUAUGGAGUCCUUUGUUUGUAAAAGCAAAAACAAACACAAACACAUUUCUAAUUAAUUUUAUUAGUACAUUUUAGGUAUACAGUAUGACAUUCAUCAUUGGCGAUUUGCACCUUUACAUAAUCUAUAUUGGUUCUUCUUUUUCCCCCUUCCCCUGCCCUCCCUUCAACUCCUCCAAAUCACCCCCCCAUUUACAAAGACUUUGUUUCCUUUUUUUCUUUUUCUCAUAUUACACUUUUGCUUUUUACUGGUUGAAUUAUUUCCACUUCCUAUUGAUUGAAACAAGCUUUCUCUCUUUUACUUUUGUCAGCUUUCUUGAACUAAAAUGAAAAUUGUGUCUCAGAGAAUCUGAGGGAGAGCCAUCAGUUAUUUUUAACCCAAGCUAUGCUUCAGAAUCACCUAGGAAACUUUUCUAAAUUCUAGUUGCCUGGCAUCUCUCGCAGAAAUUCUGAUUUAAUUGGUCUGAGUAGAGCUGGGCUAAUGUACGUGGGGAUCCACCCCCCACCCCUGUGAUUAUCAUGUGCAGCUGGAAUUGAAAAUCAUUGUCCUUACAGGAGACGGGAGAUGGUUAAUGACAAAGUUAAUAAAAAUAUCCUUACAGUAAAUGAGAACAAUUUCUCUAUUUUUUAUUGUAGUAAAAUCCACGUAACACAAAGUUUACCAUCUUAACCACUGCAAGUGUACACAGUGGUAUUAAAUAUAUGCAUCAUGUUGUGCCACCAUCUGUCACCUGAAGUCUUUUCAUCUUGUAAAGCUGAAAUUCUGUACCCACUCCCUGAUUCUGCCAGCCCCUGGCAACCACCAUUCAUUCCACUUUCUGUCUCCAAGAUUCUGACUACUCUAAGCACAUUGUUUAAAUGGAAUCAUGCAGUACAGGUACUAGUGGGAGAUACUGCAGGUUCAGUACCACACCACUACAACGAAGUAAAUGUCUCCGUGAAGUAGUCUGGAUAAAAUGAAAGGGGCAGAAAGAGGAUGUUAAGGCUCCCGUUGCUUUGCUACCUUCGGUCCACCAUGAACUGUUGCCCCUCUGCCAUGCCAGCCUGCCGUGGAGCCAUUGUGGACUGAAGUCUCUACAAACUGCAAGGAGAAAAAGAUGAAAGUCAAAGAUGUUCCCAGGUUACACAGCUGAAAGUGAGGAAGUUGGUGGUUUCCUGACUCAAGAGAGUGGAGAAGACUGAACCCAAUGAGGCACUGAAAUGAAUUGGCUGCAACUUCUAGAAGGGAUCAUGCAUUUCUGAUUUUGAAGACCCUUAACCGAGACCUGCUUCUCUGUUUGGCCUGGAAGUGUAUGAGUAGACUCCUGGAAGGAGUCUCCUUGGAGGCUUACUGGGCAACUCUUUGUAUCACAAUAUAUCCAAAGGAGAAGGUUAAUGAAAAAUGACCUCAAUUUUAUAUUGGCAAGACUACCAAGGACUCAAACCCCUCAGGACUGAAGAUCAAAUCUCCUGGAGUAAAAUCUCUACCCAGCUGAGGCACUGUCUAAAGGAUUGAACUUGGGACCUUACUCUUUCGAGACAAGCACCAGAACCACUGAGCUAAAUUCCUGCCUUGACUUGCUUCUCCUUAGGAAUUGCAGAUUCAAAGGAACUGGGGCAAAAACAAACAGAAAAAUCUGAGCAACACAGACAUGGCCAAGUUUGCAGGCAAAGUGACUUAAAGUAGUAACUGAUUUUGUAAUCUUACAUGAGGAGCCCUUUAAUGCAAGAAAUUGUGAAAAACUAGUACAUGAGAAUAAUUGUACUUUUAGUGUAUAGUAUAAUGAUUGGGAAACGUGCGCGCGCGCACACACACACACACACACACACACACACACAAGGACUGUGCAAUUGCUCCACCUUCCUGAGAGAUUUGCGCCUCACAGGUUGAAUUGAUAAAUUCAGUUGAAAGAUUUGGAACUGAAAGUGGAAACUCAGCUUAAGGUCCAACUCUGCCACUGCUUUAGGCAGAGACUUGGCUUUUCUGAGCCUUGCAGCUCUUUAGACUAUAAAUGGGGCAUCGAGCUGAAGGUGUGUGUGCCAAGCCUUGCACAGUCCCAGGAGUGACUUUCAAAUGGAUUACAGUGCUGACUGCGCUGUGGACCUGUACUGGCAACAACCCUGCUUAAGAGCCAGCCUGACAACUUAGGACCCACAGCAGGCAGCCUUCUAGUCCUGAUCAGACCUGGAUACCUUCUUUAUGAACCACCCUGGCACUGUACUUAAUGCUCUCCAUUCCUACUGACAUCUAGCUCAUCUCUUUUCUUCCAAAACACUCUUUAUGGGCAAAAUGACAUAAAACAGGACUUGUGGAGUCCCUUGGGAACCUCUCUGAGGUUAACCAGACAUUUUUAAAGGAUUGUUCAAAGCUCUGAGGCCUUCAUGCAAAGCCAAAUGCACAGUUUCUUUGGGAACCAUGCCUGGCUCUUGUGUCAGUCAUAGAAGAAAUGAUUGCAAACAUUAGAGGCAAUGAUGACACAUGAGCUCAUCUCUCCUAUUCCCCUGGCAUGGCUCUGGAGAAACGAUGACAUUAGAAAGGAACUCCUGUGCUCUUGCUCCUCCUUAUGACUCUCACUGCUAAACUCUCUGGAAUAUGUCUCUCAUUUCCCUUUAAAAUAAUUCCCAAAACAUGAUCCUGGAACUUUUGUUAAAAGUGCUAUUGGAAGGAAGGAGUGUGAGAAGAAAGGAAGAGGCAAAAGGAAGUAGCAAGAAGGAAGAGAUCAACCAAGGAAAGAAGAGAAGAAAUGCAACAUUUGGG
ensembl:lncRNA